UGCAAAUACUGUUACAUAUUCGUUCCUUAGCUAGUUGAAGAUGGCCAGAACCCCCAUAGCACAAAGCAAGCAACAUUCGUGCAUUGGGUAACCAAAUCAGGUGUAACACCAGUCAAAAUAGGUCAAACACAAUCACAUGUGAUUAUGCCAAUCAUGUAAUGUGAUUUUCGUUAAACUAGUAAUUUGAUAAACUUACUAUGUAAUUCAUGUUAAAGUAUGAACUUUCAUACAUAUUUUUGUUGGGUUUUGAGCAAUCUAACACUUCCUAAGUGUGCAUGCAACCCUAAUAAACCUUGGAUCUAUGUUUGUCUAAAUACAUGCAAAAUAAUAAUUUUCCAAGGUUCAUAACCUAUCUAACAUGGCAUGGGGAACAUUUAAACAUAAAAGAGUUAGAUGAGAUUACAUACCUUUUUGAUGAGAUUGAUUCUUUGGAGUUUGAGAGCCAAGCACCAAUAAUGUGAAUGCCUCAAAUGGAAUCACAAAUCACCACAAACACUUGGAAAACUUUGAGAGAGUGUAUACACACUUAUAUUUUCGGCCACACACAAGCACACACACUAGUGGCUAUUUCAUGCAACAUAAGCAUGCUUAUAUAGUGUACAUGGUUAGGGUGAAACCCUAAUAACCCAUGACCUUUCCUUUUCCAAGGACCCAUGGGUUAAAAGCUCCAUGGAUCAUCCAUGGACUUCCAUCCAAGCCUAGCCCAUUAACAAAUGAGUGUUAGCCCACACCAUAUAAAACCAAUAGCCCAUAAUCUAAUUAGUCUUCCUGUUAAUCUCUAAAUUAAUUCAUAAUUAAUUUAAGACUAAGACUAAUUAAAUAACAUAACUUCAUAUUAAUAUAUUAUAACUUAUAAUAUAUUAUAAACAUAUGUGUAUAACUCUCAUAAAAUUAUCCAUUAAUUAUUUGGAUGAGAUGCAACCCAAAUGGACCAUGCCGGUCGGGUCAAGUAUAUACCAAAUAAGUUAUGGACUUAGACACCUUAUCCAACAGACUCCCACUUGGAUAAGUCUAAUAACUAUAUUUGCCUAUAACUUCAGGAACCAACCAACAAUCGUAGCUCUCGAAAACUCCCUCGAACAAUGAAGACUCUGUCGAACUAUGAAGCGCCAUUUUAGAUAAGUGAUCACAUAAUCCUCUGUUCUCAUGAUAUCAGCCGGACAAACACAUGGAACUAUGUCUUGCUUAUUGUCUAGCAGUUGUUUCUCGAUUAUCCGAUUUGUUUGACGAAGAACUUCACUGAACACAUCGGUUUAGUUCUGACCAGGCCUGGUAUAUGGGUCAACACAAAAUCAUCGAGGGGCCCGGAUAUCGCUUCUAUUUCUAGAAGGAACAGAUAAACUUCGACUGAUAUGCUUGUUCUACUACUUAUUGAAUUGUACACAAAGGCACGUUUUAUAACAUCAAGUUACUGAUGCGUUUACGUGCAAUCAAUGCACAACCAACUCAUAGGUAACAACUCAUAUCUCUAGGUUUAAAGAUUUAUAUGAUGUUAUCGUCUCACGAUCACUCGAGAUAAAUUCCAUGAAGUGAUACAAGUGAGCGUGGGUUUAUACCAAUACUCAUAACUUAUGAGUACUCAUGAAUGUUGCAGCAACCAUUGCCAUGCCUAAACACCUUUAAGGCAUCUACAAACCCAAUUCAUGACAAUCUUGAUUCAUACCUACUUCCGACGUAUGAUCGAUUGUGGAGGUUUGAACAAAUUAAUUAUUCUGGAAGUCAAAACAUGCAAAACUGAAACAAUAGUAAAUAAUUGACAAUGAUAGUAACACUUUACUCAUAAAUAAAUCACAAAUUUUAUUCAUCAUCAAACGUCGAUUACAUUUUACAAGUUUCAGGAAAACUAUCUAAUCUGUAAAACUAAUAUCGUCCCUCAGCCCGAUGCGUCUCGCAUGCUGAAAAUGCUUAACCCUCGUCAGUCCCUUCGUAAGGGGAUCUGCAGGAUUCUCAUCUGACGAUAUCCUCCUUGUCACAAGGAGUCCUUCUUCAAUCUUGUGCCUUAUGAAGUGAUAUUUUCUGUCAAUGUGUCGGGAUCUGCCAUGAUCUCUUGGUUCCUUGGCUAAGAUAACCGCAGCAUUGUUGUCACAGAAAAUCUCUAUAGGUUCCUUAAUAGCUGGUACAACUCCAAGGUCUCCGAUGAAGUUCUUUAGCCAUAUCGCCUCCUUCGCUGCUUCACUCGCUGCUAUAUACUCUGAUUCACAAGUCGAAUCAGCCACCGUCUCCUGCUUGGAACUCUUCCAAGAAAUUGCCCCUCCAUUUAAGGUAAAGAUCCAGCCCGACUGAGAGCGGAAAUUAUCCCUAUCAGUCUGAAAACCAGCAUCACUAUACCCUAAUAUUCUCAAGUCAUCACUGCCACCAAGGGUAAGGACCCAAUCCUUAGUCCUCCGCAGGUACUUGAGAAUGUUCUUUACCGCGGUCCAAUGAGCCUUGCCAGGGUUCCCCUGAUACCUGCUGACCAUGCUCAAAGCAAAUGCCACAUCAGGACGGGUACAAGUCAUAGCAUACAUGAUCGAGCCAACUGCGGAAGCAUAUGGUAAUUGGCUCAUCUCAGCUAUCUCAGCCUCUGUACUCGGACUCUGAGUCUUACUCAGUUUGGUAUUGCUUUGGAUCGGUAAAUCUCCUUUCUUGGAAUUCUCCAUGUUGAACCUUUUCAACACCUUAUCCAAGUAGAUACUCUGACUAAGUCCAAUUAGUCUUCUACUCCUUUCUCUUAAUAUCCUUAUCCCUAGGAUAUAGGUAGCCUCCCCUAGGUCCUUCAUAGCAAAGCACUUCCCAAGCCAGGACUUAACCUCCUGCAAGGUUGGGAUGUCAUUUCCUAUGAGUAGUAUGUCAUCCACAUACAGUACCAAGAAGCUAACUAUACUCCCACUAGCUCUGACAUACACGCAAGACUCAUCUUCGCUUCUCAAGAAGCCAAACUCUUUUACCUUCUCAUCAAAACAAAGAUUCCAGCUACGAGAUGCUUGUUUUAAUCCAUAAAUGGAUUUCUUAAGCUUGCAUACUCUAUUAGGGUACUCUGCAUUGACAAAACCCUCUGGCUGAUUCAUGUACACAUCCUCAGCCAACUUUCCAUUAAGGAAAGCGGUUUUGACAUCCAUUUGCCAUAUUUCAUAAUCAUGAAAUGCUGCAAUGGCUAACAUAACCCUAAUAGACUUAAUCUUGGCCACCGGCGAGAAGGUUUCAUCAUAAUCAAUACCUUGAGUUUGAGUAAAACCCUUCGCAACCAGUCGAGCCUUAUAAGUAUGCACUUUUCCUUCCAUGUCGGUCUUCUUUUUGAAGAUCCAUUUGCACCCGACUGUUUUACGGCCUGGUACAUUGUCAACCAAGUUCCAAACUUGAUUGUCAUACAUGGACUGUAUCUCGCUGUCCAUAGCCUCCUUCCAUUUAGCAGACUCCGGGCCUGCCAUGGCUUCCUUAACACUGCUAGGUUCAUCCAAAUUUACUAGUGUACUAUCACUAAUAAACGUAUCACCUUCCGUAGUAAUAUGAAAACCAUAAUAAAACGAAGGUGUGUUCCUAACCCGUGUGGAACGUCUCGGAGGUACAGACUCGUCAGCUGGAUCAACAGGAGUUUCUUCCUCAGGUUGAUUGCUAGUGUCUGAGGUUCCUUCACCAAUUGAUUCUUGAAUUUCUUCAAGAUCAAUCUGCCUCCCACUGUCUCCUUGGCUUAUAAAUUCUUUCUCGCGAAAGAUCCCUCUUCGUGCUACAAAGACCACAUUCUCACUGGGUCUGUAGAAAAGGUAACCGAAGGAUUUCUGUGGGUAGCCGAUGAAAAUACACCUUUCACUUCGGGGUUCAAGCUUAUCAUGAGUUUCACGCCUCACGAAGGCUUCGCAACCCCAAAUUUUGAUGUGGUCCAAAUUGGGAACCUUCCCAGUCCACAUCUCAUGAGGUGUUUUGGUAACCUUCUUUGUAGGGACUAGAUUAAGGAUAUGGGCGGCAGUCUCUAAGGCAUACCCCCAAAAAGAGAUUGGUAACGAAACUCGACUCAUCAUAGAGCGAACCAUGUCCAACAAGGUACGAUUACGCCUCUCAGCUACACCAUUCAGCUGUGGUGUCCUGGGAGGAGUCAAUUGUGAGACAAUCCCACACUCCUUAAGAUAGUCAAGGAACUCGGUACUAAGAUACUCACCACCUCGAUCGGAUCGAAGCAUCUUAAUGUUCCUGCCCAAUUGAUUUUCUACUUCCUGUUUGAAUUCCUUAAACCUUUCAAAGGUUUCGGACUUGUGUUUGAUCAAGUAGACAUACCCAUAUCUACUAUAAUCAUCAAUAAAAGUCACAUAAUACCGAUUAGCGUCCCUUGUGGCGGUUUUGAAUGGCCCACAUACAUCAGUAUGUAUUAGGUCCAACAAACCUUCACCCCUCUCACAAGUUCCAGUGAAGGGUGAUUUUGUCAUUUUUCCAAGUAGACAAGAUUCACAACUAUCAUCUGAUUUGAGGUCAAAUGAUUCCAAGACUCCACUCUUUUGGAGUUGGUCUAUGCGUUUCUUGUUUACAUGUCCAAGACGACAAUGCCACAAUGAUGCUUUAUCUAGGCUAGUAGAAGAAUCAAUAUACAACACAUUAUUUCCUAAGUUGUCUACAAUCGACACAGUUUCAUACACGCCAUCACAAGGUAAUGCUUUAAAAUAAAACACAUUAUUAAAGAAAGCAUUAAUACCACCACAUUCAUUAUCAAACGAAAAGGUAAAACCUUGUUUGUACAAAGCAUGAAAAGAAAUAAUAUUCCUCGCCAUUUCAGACGAGUAUACACAUUUAUUCAAAUCUAAUUUUAACCCAUUAUUAAGCAACAAAGUAUAAACUCCAAUCUUGGAAACAGGUGAAGCCUUCCUAUUCCCCAUGAUUAAGUUUAUCUUCCCGUGCUCCACAUCCUCACUUCUUCUUAGGCCCUGCAAAUCAGAACAUAUGUGAAUACCACAUCCUGUAUCAAGCACCCAAGAGUUAGAAUAUGUUGAGUAAUUAGACAAUAUAGUGUAAAUACCUGCAUAGGUGGGUUUCACUUUCCCAUCCUUUAGAUCCUGCAAGUACUUAGGGCAGUUUCGCUUCCAGUGUGCCUUUUCAUGGCAAUAAAAGCAUUCAGCAUCCUUUGGAAUGGCAGAAGGAGUGACAGAACCGUUCUUAGUCUUGGAUGAGGAGCCUUCAAGAGACUUUCCCUUGGUACCCUUCGAAGGGUGCUUCCUCUUUUUCCCUUUGCCUUGCCCAAUAGCUAAAACAGGGGUAGAAGUUGGAGUAGGAGUAGUAGAGGUAACAACCGCUUUACCCUUAAGACCGGUUUCAGCGGUCUUCAAGAGUCCUUGAAGCUUGCUGAGGGUAACUUCCUCCUUGUUCAUAUGAUAUGUCAUUCGAAAAUGAUCAUAACAAGAAGGCAAGGAGUGCAAAAUGAUGUCAAUUGCUAACUCCUCGGGGAUGUUAACAUUCAGCUUCAGCAAACGGUCCACAUACCUUUGCAUCUUUUGCAUGUGGCCCGUGACGGAUUCACCGUCCUUCAUGCGGGUAGUUAUUAUGGAGGAGAUUAUUUCAUACCGCUCCUGACGAGCACUCUGAUGGUACCUUUCCAUCAAGUCUUGGUGCAUCUCAAAAGGGUAGAAAUCUUCAUAUGACUUUUGGAGCUCGGCUGUCAUCGUGGCCAUCAUGAUACAUGCCACCUUAGUAGCAUCUCUCUCAUGAGUCCUGAAUUCAGCGAUCUCCUCAGGAGUAGCAGUAGACUCAUCAAGUUCUUUUAACUCCUUAUCGAGGACAUAUUCCUUGUCCUCGUAACGAGUAACCAUCCUGAUGUUCCUAAUCCAAUCCAUGAAGUUGGAACCAUCAAAGAUGACCCUCCCACAAAGAUUCAUGAGAGAGAAAGAACCAGUUGGGUUAGAGCCUGAAGCAUUAGUGUUGGAAGACAUCUGAAAGAAGAAAGUAAGUUUAGAUUAGAUAUUUAGGAUCCUUAAUAAGACACCCAAAUGUAAUAUUAAGGCUAGGAUCCAAUCACAAUAUAUUACACUUAGAAGAGGGAUGCCGUAAUCUAAGUAAUAAUAUAUUUGAAAGGUAGGCGAAUGACGAUUCACCAAUUUCCACCAUGAAAACGAAAUGAUUAAUUAGGUUUAAUUGGAUUUGAAAUUCCUAGAUUCUUUUGAGAUUCAUUGAACUUUUCAAUGGCAUGUUUCAAUCUCGAUUGUGCCCUUCAAGUUUUGUGACUGGGAUGCCGAGGAUCACAAAACAAGGUGUGAAUAACCAUGCUAACUCACUUGGUACUCCUAAUAUUAUCACCUAAUCAAUGUGCCGGUUAACCACACACGCUCCAUUGAUCUAUGACAACAUUAAGUUACCCUUCGUGAUCCUUACUAGUCUAAUUAGUGUGCCGGUUAACCACACACGCUCCACUAACGACUUGGUAAGGUACAAAGUGUGAAUUCCAUGGAUUAGCACCAUGUUCACAUUUUCCUAAAAUAACUAAGAUUGGGAAUUAAAAGAGUUUAGUUAUUUUAUAAUAUUCAUUAUACUUUUAAUGAGGAUUUAAAGUCGUUGUUCUACCCGUUCGGCUAACGACCCUCCACCGAUCAAGCAAGCGGUGGGUGAGAGUAUACACCCAUUAAGUCGCCAUUUUAUAGGCAACAACCUUAUACCCACCUUAUAGACCGGCUUCGUGAAUGAGGCCUACUAACGGUAAAACGACUUAUUCUUAUACAUAUAUAUAAUAAUUAACCAUUAAUGUUAUAAAUAGUAUAAGGGUUGAAUUUUAACUAUUAAAACUCUAAGGUUUGGAAUUAAAGUUUAUUAAAGUGUGUGAAACUUUACAAAUUCCAAAACUUGAGGACAAGUUUUGUAACUUUGCAAAACUCUUCAUUUCAUAACUUAUGAAUUAAAGGUUCAUAAAAAUGAAGACUCUUCAUUUUCAUGUAACUUAUGUGUUUUAAGUGUGUGUUAAAUGAAAGUGACCUUUGGUAAUCCAUAACUUGAGGACAAAUUAUGGACUCCAUUAAAACACAUAAAUGAUUAAGAAUUAAUUCUAAACAAUUCAGCAAAUAAUUCCUAUCAUUUUCUAAAUUCAUAAGAACAUGAACAUGAUCAUCAAAAAUUCAAGAAUUAUAUGAACACAUAAAAUCAUGGAUUUUUGAUAUAUGCUAUUGUAAAUGGAUUAGAACAACCAUUACACCAACUAAAAUAAGUUUUACAACACCAAAACAAUUUAGGGUAAUGUUUCCAGUCCAUUUCCAGCAGCAAAAGUCGAGAUUCUGCAUUCUUUCGAUCCUACUCGCCGAGUGCACGAACGGACUCGUCGAGUAGGUUGAAGUUUGCCUUGGACUCGGCGAGUCCCCCCAAUGGACUCGGCGAGUCUAGCAUGCAGACAGCAACGAUUUCGACUUUUUUCACUAUUUUGCAUCAAGUAUCAAACAAGCAAGCCUAGGCUCUGAUACCACUGUUGGGUUUUGAGCAAUCUAACACUUCCUAAGUGUGCAUGCAACCCUAAUAAACCUUGGAUCUAUGUUUGUCUAAAUACAUGCAAAAUAAUAAUUUUCCAAGGUUCAUAACUUAUCUAACAUGGCAUGGGGAACUUUUAAACAUAAAAGAGUUAGAUGAGAUUACAUACCUUUUGAUGAGAUUGAUUCCUUGGAGUUUGAGAGCCAAGCACCAAUAGUGUGAAUGCCUCAAAUGGAAAUCACAAAUCACCACAAACACUUGGAAACCUUUAGAGAGUGUACACACACUUGUAAUUUUCGGCCACACACAAGCACACACACUAGUGGCUAUUUCAUGCAACAUAAGCAUGCUUAUAUAGUGUACAUGGUUAGGGUGAAACCCUAAUAACCCAUGACCUUUCCUUUUCCAAGGACCCAUGGGUUAAAAGCUCCAUGGAUCAUCCAUGGACUUCCAUCCAAGCCUAGCCCAUUAACAAAUG
rnacentral:lncRNA from 1 species